ensembl:lncRNA
AUCCUGGGUGGAUGAAUGGGGUUAGUGGCCCAGAACAUGUCAUCUUCAAGUGACCUGCUUCGCCACACUCACGUAACUUCUCAGGAACACCUCCCUUGCAACAUGGGCAGUGUAGCUCCAGUUGUGAAGGAGAAAGGAUAUCGAAAAAGGAACAGCCACAGCUGUAUGCAGAACAAUGAAUGCGCACUUCUUUGAGCUCAGUCUCUGUGAACUGCACACGUUGGUUGUUCAGCCCGUUCUUCCUGAUCUGACAAUGGUCUUGAGGAGGAGACUUAACAGUCUGGAGAUCUGGUGUAAGAUGGUCGGCUGUGUUUGCAUCCAAACCACUGAACUCAGCGGAAUGUUGGAGCACAGCACUAUUGGAGGCACACUGAAUAAAGCUUUCAACUACUGACAGCAUCUGAAGAACAUCAGGAAAAUGCUGAAAGCCUAGGUUUUCAAAUUUCAGAAAUCUGUGGCCUAUGUGGCUCCAUAGGCAGCUCUGGGCACUACUCAGAGAUCCAGUAAUAUUCAAAGAUUCCAGUGAUAUUCCAGCAUGAAGCCGUGCCUUGGUGUCUUCAGCUGGCGCUAGAACUGCCUAGCAAGUAAUAUAAUAGCUGGAGGAAAAAAAAAUGGUGUGAUGCAGCAUGGCAACAAAUCUCUCUUCACUAAUACGUUCCGAAGAAUGGCUGCUGAAGCUGGGGAUGACCAAGGGAGCACCGAGUGCCUGGGAGAAUCUCUGCAGAGUAGUUGCAUUGCUGUGAACUCCACCAUGCUGCUGGAAUAGAAAGGAAGAGCCAGAUCAGAAGCAGUCACACAGGAGAAGGUUUCUGAAAGCCCAGUGGGCUUUAUGUCAUGAGAAGGUCACGAGCAGUGAGCUGUCAAACUGUGCAUUGAGGCCUUACUUCUGCUGUAAAGUUAUGGCUGUAUUACUGUACCAGGUAGUGGAAAAUCAGGCUCAACAGUUAUUCUUCAUUAAAUGUAAAAUGUUUGCAUUUUAGCCAAUUAAAAUAUCUCAGUGUGUUCAAAUAAUCUGUAAAUCCGUGAUUCUGGAACCUGCCCAGAACUAAUUUAAAAAGCCAGUACCUGUAACAAAGACGUCACAAGUCAAAGAAUAUUAAAAGUGCCUUACUGUUCUAUAAAAUGAACACAGUUGGGUGAGAUUGCUCAGUCAGCAGGGUUGGUCAUGCUUGAGCAGGCUUAGCUCACUUUAAGUGCACCCUCUUACCUUAGGGUUGGGUCUUCUACCUGUGCUUCUCUGGUUCUCCACUGUAUUCCUAGUGCUGGGCAGGCACUUUGUAAAUAAAUAUUUUCCAAUUUGAAAAUGCCAGUUCAACAGUGGGAACUGGUAUCAAGUUGUGUGUUUCAAAUUGGAAGCAUUCAUUCUUAGUAAAAGAGAAUUUGUUCAAAGCUCAUUGCAAAGCUUUUGGAAUUGAAUGCUUCUUAUUUACAAUGCCUCUUUCAGAAAAGCUCUUUUAAAAAAUAAAAACAUUUUAAUAAAAUGGUAUAUUUCUAUUGACAGGGCAUUAGGGGAAUGUUUUAUUACACGGGAAUUUACAAAUUCUCUGGUCUUUUUUCCUCUUCAAACUUGGACAUAUUUCAAAAUGUCAGAAUUUCCUGUGGAACAGAAUUUUCAGUUCUGACAUACCCUUGUCUGUUGAGCCCUUAGAAUGAAGAACAGUCAUUAACAUUGGUAAUCAGCCAACAAACCCAAACUUGCAGGAGAGACAAAAAAGGUUAAGAGAGAGAGAGAGAGUAGAAAUACCUUAUGCAGACUUUUGUACUCAGCAUGUCCUCAGUAACUCAAGCAUACACACAAUUGUCUCUCUAACUGAACUUAGGUAUGGGAGCUUUCUAGCCCUAAACCUCUGACAUUGUUGUAUAAAGGAGGCAUCAGUGGUAUGGUACAACCCAUUCUUCAAAUCAUUUUUUUCAGCAAGCUGAAAAAUAAGGAAUAAGAUGAUAGGCUUUGUUUAAAUCUGUAGCAAAAAUAAUCACUCAUAAAGUCAUGGAAUGUGGAUGCAAGCAUUUGGGGCCUUUUAAAGCUGCCUUGCUUUGCUCAGCUGUACUACUUCAACUACUCAUUGUUGGCGUACUUGAAUCUUCAUCUACAAACUUGGAAAUCUCAAUUCCCCAUCUGAGUUAAAAGUCUAUAAUUUAUGUCCACAAAGUCUUCUGGUUUUUUUUUCAAGGAAAUUUAUCAAGUGGUUUCUCUGUCUCAAAUCCCCUUUCUGAAGAUUAAAAGAGGGAAUAUCUAAAGAAGAUAUAAUAUCCGGUGGCAUUCAGCUACUCAAUAAGAUUCAUUCUGCCUAAGAAGACGAUGGAUAAUUCACACUAUCGGACCAAUUUUCUUUUAAUUCCUAGAAAUGCUUCCAUCAGAUCAUAUACACCAAUGUAGACAAAGAGAGAGAGAUGUGGAGAGAUUUGUAGACAUCAGUAAAUACAGCCAGUUGACUUUUGAUGAACUGAGGACCAGAGAAAGAAUAGCUAAUGAUUUGGAAGGAGGUUCUGUGGUACUAUUGCUUUUAAAAGAAAUAAUUUAAAAAAGGAACCAAAAAAUGUUCAGGGCUUUGUUUAUUACAAGAAUGUAUAAAUCUGGGUGCACAAAGAACAAAUAUGCUAUCUACAUAAAACACUUCAGUUUCCUGGCUCCUCCUACUUGGAUUUACUGGAUUAUAGCCAAGGAGUCGUAACUGCCAGAUUUUUCUCUAACAGAAAACCCAUCUGAGCGGAAUUUAGUAUUGGCAGAGGAUGUUUGGAGACAUGUGUGAAAAAUUAGGAACCCUUUAAGGGAAGAAGUCACCCAAUUAAAAACGUGCAGAAAAUAAUCCAUCAUACAUUCCCAUCAAAUCCCUUUUGCUUUCAAGUACCAAAAUAAUGACUGGUUGAGACCCGAGUUGAGUCUAGAGCUGGCUGAACUGCUUAUUGUGGAUUGAACAUUGUUUUUGAAGGGAGAAAAUUCUGAAAUGAGCUUUUUAAUGUUUUUAGUCUUGAUUUUAAGUUCUUUCCCUGUGGAAUAUUUUUGCAUUAAUAAUAUUCAGUGUUUUGGCUGUUUGAAUGAGCUUUCUUCAAGCGUUUUAGUGUAUUUGUACGUGCCAUGUGUUUGUACUUUCAAGUAGUGUUUUUCCUGUCUGGAUGACUCUUAAAUUUUAAAUAGGAUCACAAAUCAAUGAAUGAAAACAUCAAACUGUCACAUAUUCAGUUUCAAGAGGAUAAUCACUUUCUUAAAACGUAUGAAACAUUUGUAAUCACAGGCAUUUGGACGAAGCGCUCAGUGAUUUUCUAAGAAGCAGCACAAUAAUAAUACUAAUUAACAGAUCACAUUCUGCAGCUUAUGAGCAACCAUAUUUGCUACUUAAGAGGCUUUUAGUUUUGCUUUGUAAAUACUGACUCAACUCUACCAUAAUGCGUGUGGUACAGGACCAGUAGAAUGUAAAACAGGGAGUUAGUUUUUCUGUUGUGCUGAGAAAACCAAAAAGCUGCAAAGGAAAGAAAGCUCAGUGUUCUUCUUCUUCUUUUUUUUUUUUUCUUCACCCCAAAAUAGAGCUAAGUGUUGGAUUUCACAAUUUUGUAAUUAUUAAUCAAAACACAUUCUUCUUCAAAGUAAUAGCCCCAUUUUUAUAGAAAAAGUCAAAAUAAUUUCCUUAUUUCCAUAGUUAAAUAUUUACUUUCCAACAUUAUGAAACCUUUGAGUGGCAUUCAUUUCAUCAGCUAUAAGAAUCACAGUUUCAAAUGCAUACCCUUGAACAAAAUAAAUUGACCUCCAGACAUGCCUGUUUCUCCACAUUGGCUAAAACUUUGGGGUUAGACAAAAUGCUUAACUUAGUCUUGGCUACAGAUAAGUAUUUUCCCAAAAGAAACUCUCCCCAAGCCUGUCUUUUUUGGAGUAGGUUUGAAAUUGCUUUACAUAUUGAACUCUUAAGUAUGUGAUUGCUUGUCAGCUCAAACUUGAGUUACUCCACAUAUUUGGUUCGGCUUCACAUCUGAAGAAUGCCCCAGAGAGAGAAAUGAUCAUAUAGCCUUUACUUCUCUACCGAAUUUAAGUUCCAUUAUUUUUUCCCAUUUUAUCUCUUUUAUCAUAGCUGCAGGGUAUGUUACAGAGUUAUCCUUUACUCUGCUAAUCAAGAAGAAUGUGUCUAUUAUUCUCUACAUUUAUUUCAUAGAAGAGAUCACUGUUCCUGGGCAUAUGCAAGCAAACUCUUCACAUCACCAGACAUCAUUGGAAGUCUGAACAGCACACUGAAUUUCCAGCUUUGUGGCUUCUAUGAUUGAUUAAAAAGACACUCACAACCUGUGAAGAUUAAAUAACUUUAAAAUGAAUAUGAAAUACAUUUUGUAUCCUUAUAUUGAUGAAACUACUUCUGGAAAUAAAGAGAUUUAAUUUAGUACUUUUUGUUUCUUGUGCAAAUUGUGGUAUCCCUAUCAAUGUAUGUCUUAUUAGACAACUAGUUACAACAUUUUUUCAUAGAAUCAAUGCAAAAUUCAAGGAAUAUCAUAAGAAAGGGAAGUCUAGUCUUCUGCUCAAAACAGGACUAGCUUCAAUAUUAGGUCAGGUUGCUCUGGGUUUUGUCUAGUUGAGUUAUGAGUACUUGCCAGAAUGGUCUCCACAAGUCCUUUGGACAACUUGUUUUGAUGUUUGGCCACCUUCAUUGUGAGGAUUUUUUCCUAAUCAGAAUUUCCUUUUUGUGAUUCAUCUCUGUUGCCUCUUUUGCUAUUGACUUCCCAGAAAGUGUCUUCAUUUUCCUUGUAACUAUCCAGCAGGUAGUCACGACAGCAGUUAGAUGCCCCUUUUAGCCUUCUCUUCUGCAGACCAAGUUCUCUCAGCCUCUGUAAAUCAUGCACACCAGACCUGGCCAUUUUAGUGAUGCUCUGCUAAUGUAUAAUUUUCCCAUUUUCUGCAUUUUCUUAGGAUUUCUACCUUAAAAAAUCCCAAGCCCUUGAAGUUAAAGCAAAUCUUUAUUUGUAUAAUUGCUGAUAAAUUUGCUGUAACUUGAUCAUCCCAAAAGAGAACUGCUUGAAAAGUAUAACCAGCCUUUCUAGUCAUCUGGUCUGUAGAAGGGUGGAUUACUCUGUCAAGGCAGCCAAAUUUAACAGGGAAAAGAACCAGAUUUAGCAACCAUAUCAAAAGCAGACAUUGUCUCAAGAGACAUAAGACUCAUACUCCAUCCAGAUACGAGCCAAGGCGAGUAGCACAAACAAGUUCCUAACUCCCUAUUUAAAGGGGGAUGGAAAGUGUAUUUCUUAUCUAAAACUGUUUAAACUCCAAAAUUAGUAAUGAUUAUGCAUAGAGUUAAAAAUUACACAUACAUUUAUGGAGCCGUGCUGUAGAAGAGCAAUGACAGCGUGAUCAGAACUAAUGCACUGAGACCCUUCUCAGCAUAAAAUAUUAAGAGUUAACAUAAAGUACAGAAACACAGAAUCACAGGAUAGCUUGUGUUGGAAGGGACCUUAUAGGUCAUUUGGUUCCAACUCCUGCCAUGGGCAGGGCUGCCACCCACCAGAUCAGGUUGCACAGUGCCCCAUCCAGCUUGACCUUGAAUGUCUCCAGGGACGGAGCAUGACAAAGGGGCACGAAAAUUAUCACACGUGUUAGUAGAGGGCCUCUAAGAUGAUCAAGAAUCUGGACAGCAUGACUGGAAUUGAAAUGGCAGUUCUUCUUUGACUUUAGUAACACCACUGUAGACUGGCAGAUUGCUCCUCCAUUAACUUCACAUUCAUAGAACAUCCUCUGAGCCUAGACCUGCUUUCAUGUUCAUGGGAUCUGUUUUAAAUACCAUAGGGGAAACUGGACCUGUACUCCUAGCCCCUGUGCGUGGAAGCCCCAGAGUUAGCAUCAAAUGCAGAAUGAAGCCAGUUAGGAACUGAAGUGAAGAGUCAGCUGGGAAGGGACAUGUGUGCCAUCCUGAAAGCAGGCUGAGCGCCUGCUGCUGCCGCUGGCCCCUCUGCAAGUAGGUCAGCGGCCUAUUUGUGGUGUCCGUGCGGCUGCAGGCUGCCAGCAGGGAGUGAGUCAGCUGGGCCACAGGAACCCUGCACAAGGCCGCGGCCAUGGGGAGCCUCUGCUGUUUCCCUUCCCAAAGCACUUCGCCCCCUCCCUGCAGUGCGGAGAAAUUGAAUCCCACUUUCAGGAGAGUCAAAGGAUACGUGCUCGUUCUUGCGGGACAGCUGGGGGCUGGCAGUCUCGGCUGUCUGAUGGCUGCUGUUUUGCUUCUGGGAGUGAGAGCUGAAAGACUUCCCCUGACCCCAAAAGCUCCAGCCAUAGUCUGAGUCUGAGAUGGUGCCAAUGCCCUUCCUGUAGCAAGGCUGAUAUAUUUUUAUCUCAUCUUUGUAAGCAACACCACCAACUGCAACACCAUCUGCAGGGGCGAAGAGAACUUCUGCCAGGUAUGGGGUUGUUUUUAUAGGUAGCAGGAUUUGACUUGCUUGUUGAAGGAACUUGGGCCCACUUGUCGUGUCAUGGUGAUGUGGUUUAACCAGACACGUGGACCUCCUGUCCAUUGGGUGACCACUGGGAAAGAAUCCCUUCAUUCCUUUCAGACCAAGCACAACUGCUGGAGUGAUGGACACAAGGAGAAAAUCAGCAGCCUCUUAACCAACCUGGCUUCUGAAUCACUAAUUCUGUCUGCUGUGCCUCAUCUGUGUAAUUCUCUCCUGCACAGCAAAACAGAAUUUGUGAUCUCUACACGUUUUUCCACGACUUCUGGACCUAUGCCUAGAAGACAAAACCAGUGCAUAAUAUAAAUGAUUAAGAUAGACAGUAUUAUAAAUUAAUAUAUUAUAGCAAUUAAAAUAAUAUUUAUUACUAUAUAUUAGAAAUUAAUAUAGAGGCAAAUGUAUGCAGCUAGCUAGGCUGCUAGUGUCCAGAAAUUCCUCCAAUGUGCACUGUGCAAAGGCAGACCUUUUCUCUUGCUUUGGUGCAUGUUCAGUAAGCUUAGUUAUGAUAUCUACGUUUCAAGGUAUGUAUUGUGCUAUUAAAGUGCACAUGUACAAAAUGUCCAUUAUAUCCCAAAUAUUUCAGAUUUACGUGACCCACAGAGACAAAGCAGCUGUGUCCCCAGUGACUAUUUAUUUGUAAAAGAGCCUCAAGAUUUUUCCCACGUGAUUCUGCUCGUUGCUUGCUGUUGAGCUAGUAACAUUUCCCAUCUUUCCUUCCCUCCAUAGUCCUGACACUUUGCCUGUUUUGUUUUAAAAAGGAGUUACUGUAGAAGUUUCCAAAGGAUAAUUAUCUGGGGAAAUACUUGUGUUCUCUGGAAGUCAGCAUCAUGAAAUACCUGCGGAUUUUCUUCAAAGAGGAGGAAAGUUUAAAUACAGGAACACUGGCACAUUAGCUCAUUUCUAUUUUUUAUCUGCCUAUUUUAGAUUUGUAGCUACAGGCAAACCCUAACGUAGGGUAAACUUUGGCUUAAGG